rnacentral:rRNA from 1 species
UCAGCCUGCCCAGUGACAAGUUCAACGGCCACGGUAUCUAACCGUGCGAAGGUAGCAUAAUCACUUGUUCUUUAAAUGGGGACUCGUAUCAACGGCACCACGAGGGUUAUACUGUCUCCUUUUUCUAAUCAGUGAAAUUAAUCUCCCCGUGAAGAAGCGGGGAUACCCCUAUAAGACGAGAAGACCCCAUGGAGCUUCAAACCCAACUACACCCCUAGUUUCUAUAACUCUCAACCCCCAGGGCCCUGUACAGUUGGUUUUAGGUUGGGGCGACCACGGAGUACAACAAAACCUCCACAAUGAAUGGGACCACCCCCCAUCUAAGAGCUACAACCCUAAGAAUUAGAACACUAACAUAAAAUGAUCCAUUAUUUGAUCAAUGAACCAAGUUACCCUGGGGAUAACAGCGCAAUCCAUUUCAAGAGCCCCUAUCGACAAAUGGGUUUACGACCUCGAUGUUGGAUCAGGGUGUCCUAGUGGUGCAGCAGCUACUGACGGUUCGUUUGUUCAACGAUUAAAACCCU